UCAGUUGCGCUGCGCAUGCGCUAGAAGUGAUGUCAUGUGUCUUUCUUUGCCGCCGCCUUGCAGUCUGCUCGCUUCGCGUACGCAUGCGCUAGCAGACAGCGGUUUGUUUGCUUGUGCUGCUUGAGCAUGGCUUGAAGAUGAGAUUUGUGGUAGUGGUGAAGCAGCUUUGCCAAAUAAUCCGUUCAAGUUCCUCGCUGGGUGUCCCGCUCGUCCGUCGACGUUCAACAGAUGCAACAAGUGCCAGUCCACUUUUUCUCAGCUGCACCUUCUCAGUCCAGGCAGCAGCAGCACCAGGUGAAUGCAGGUACACAACUUCCAAGUGAAUUAAGACGUACGAGUGCAAUUCUGAAGCUGAUUUUCAGGCAUGGAGAGAAGAAAUGCGCAGAAGGCAGCCAAGAGUCACUAAAGGCACAGGGGUAAAAAGGUUGAAAGAUGGAGGUUUAAAGUGUUAUUAUAUUUGUAACUGAUCUGGUGCUUUUACAGAGAACAUCAUCAAAGAAAAAAGGUCCAUAAAAUCAUAAGGUUCCGUCAGGCGUGGGGUAACCUGCAUUGAUGAUUCGUCUGCAACGUUCCAGACUGGCAAGGUUCCAGGACAUAACGGGAUGUAUGCUCCGGGGCCCCCUACCAUCUCGCUCAUGAUCAGAGCUGACAGUUAAGGCAUAAUGGUUUCAAAUUAACGAAUAUUCUCUAAGAAGUGGCAUCCAGUUCAGAAUUUGUAUGAGUACAACACAACAGCGUGUACAGCCCGAGACAAAAGUUCACGGCACUGCGCUUUUCUUCAUCGAAGCGGUCCCCUGCCAGCUACCAGCAAAAGAUCGAAUAAGAAACGGGUCUAUCUCUCAGUAUGUGCGUCCGCUCUUGUUUGAUGCUAGGGUGUCACUCCAAUGAAGAAAUGUGACACCAUGGUGGUCCGUAAAGAUUUGUACCAAGCUGUACAUUGUACCACCCCGACAACUAACAAACACUGCUCGGUAAGGUCAGUGUUCCAAUUUGAGAUUUUGCUGCCUGUUUCUCCCAAAAGGCUGCUCUUGCAAAAAUGCUUAAGAAAGUCAUUUGGGUGAACUCCGGUGUACCAAGACAAGUGCAGAACAAAAAAAUUUAUAGUUAGACUUUGAAGGCAGUAGUCAACAUAAAUAAGUUUUACCUCUGAGCGAUGAUUGCCCAUUCCAGGCAACAACAAACUCAUAGGUUCACCACAUCAUCUAAACGUCCUCGGUCUGUUACAGCUUGUUUCUGUCCACAACGACAUCUUCAAAGUGCAUAUCCUGUGCCAUGCAGACAGAGGAGUGGUUACAUGAACUAUCAUUCAUCUAGCAUUUGUGAGGAGAUUGUUAGAGGAAUCAGACAGACAGAUAUGUUUCAGAUGAUUUUUUUUUCAGUUUUCAGGUUUUUAUUGUUAUUCCAUGACAGUAUACACUGAUACUGAUACUGGGAAAGCCCUGUUGAACAGUCCAAGACACAGUCAAUGCAAAUGUCUACACAAUUUGAGGGGAACAGAAAUACCAAGAACACAUGACAAGUAUAAGAAACAAAUAGCAAAGAUAUUGCACAGCAGAGAAAUGCACAUAAUCAAAAAGUAAUUGCAUGUCACCCUACGUAUCAGAAGAAAAGUCCUGUUUGAUGGUGUUUUUGAAGGAUGCCAGAUUAUUGUUGGAACGAAUGCGUAGAGCAGUGUUUCUCAAACUGUGGGUCAUGAGCUGUUGAAAGAUUCAUUGUUUCACGCCCAACCAGAGGGUAAAGCUCAAUUCAUGUUUAAAGCAUUAAUGGACUGUCAUGUGUUGUCACAUGACAGUGCUGCAUUCAUGAGUAAAUGAUGUAGAUGUGAAGGUCCUUAAGCAUGAAUUCAACAGAAAUCCUCUGGCUGGGUGUAUUUCCUGCUGCUUGGCACACUCUUGGAAUCUGGUUGAAAAGCUGCUUCUGAAAACUGCCCUGCUGCUUGGCUUUCUUCACACCAUCUGUGCAUCAAUAUUCGAACAGAUUGGGACACAAGUUUAUGGAGCACCGGGGUGUUGCAUUUCUUCAUGGGAGUGACACCCUAGCAGCAAACAGGAGUGGCCACACACACUGAGAGGUGCACAGAACAGCCAGUCACCUGUUUCUUAUUCGAUAUCUUCCUGCUAGCGAGCAGGGAGCCGCUCCGAUGAGGUGCAAGGCAACAGGCUCAUGCUGGUGUCCAGCUGGAAUUUGUGGUAUUUUGGAGCAAUGUAUUGCUAACGAGACCAGUAAAAAUAUCCAAAACUGGA